UACAGAGGUCUCAAGCGUUGUUCGGAUUCAUUGGGCGUAAAGGGUGUGUAGGUGGCGCCGUAAGUCGGGUGUGAAAUUUCGGAGCUUAACUCCGAAACUGCAUUCGAUACUGCGGUGCUUGAGGACUGGAGAGGAGACUGGAAUUCAUGGUGUAGCAGUGAAAUGCGUAGAGAUCGGGAGGAACACCAGUAGCGAAGGCGGCACUCUGGGCCGGUACUGACGCUGAGGAGCGAAAGCGUGGGGAGCAAACAGG
rnacentral:rRNA from 1 species